UACGGCCGCAAGGUUAAAACUCAAAUGAAUUGACGGGGGCCCGCACAAGCGGUGGAGCAUGUGGUUUAAUUCGAUGCAACGCGAAGAACCUUACCUGGUCUUGACAUCCACAGAACUUUCCAGAGAUGGAUUGGUGCCUUCGGGAACUGUGAGACAGGUGCUGCAUGGCUGUCGUCAGCUCGUGUUGUGAAAUGUUGGGUUAAGUCCCGCAACGAGCGCAACCCUUAUCCUUUGUUGCCAGCGGUCCGGCCGGGAACUCAAAGGAGACUGCCAGUGAUAAACUGGAGGAAGGUGGGGAUGACGUCAAGUCAUCAUGGCCCUUACGACCAGGGCUACACACGUGCUACAAUGGCGCAUACAAAGAGAAGCGACCUCGCGAGAGCAAGCGGACCUCAUAAAGUGCGUCGUAGUCCGGAUUGGAGUCUGCAACUCGACUCCAUGAAGUCGGAAUCGCUAGUAAUCGUGGAUCAGAAUGCCACGGUGAAUACGUUCCCGGGCCUUGUACACACCGCCCGUCACACCAUGGGAGUGGGUUGCAAAAGAAGUAGGUAGCUUAACCUUCGGG
rnacentral:rRNA from 1 species